GGGACUCACACGGCUGAUCCUGACUCUGACAGAGAGAAGCACAUCGAUUCCCCAGAGGAACGAGAGGCACAGGCAUUGCCCCCAUGAUACUCACUGAGAAGAUGUGUCCCCUUCCUUUUGCCUGAAAUGUUUCACUUCCUUGACAGAAAUGGAGACCAAGAGUCAACACUCAACAAUGGAGGGUCACCCAACAAUGGAGAG
rnacentral:lncRNA from 1 species